AAGUUUGUGUGCAUUUGCAGGAACUUGUGAGUCUCCUAUUGAAAAUGAACGGGAGACUGGUGAGUUCCCGGGAACACCCACAAAUUU
ensembl:miRNA MIR873 microRNA 873